rnacentral:rRNA from 1 species
AGUGAACGCUGGCGGUAGACCUAACACAUGCAAGUCGAACGGCAGCACAGUAAGAGCUUGCUCUUACGGGUGGCGAGUGGCGGACGGGUGAGGAAUACAUCGGAAUCUACUUUUUCGUGGGGGAUAACGUAGGGAAACUUACGCUAAUACCGCAUACGACCUACGGGUGAAAGCAGGGGAUCUUCAGACCUUGCGCGAUUGAAUGAGCCGAUGUCGGAUUAGCUAGUUGGCGGGGUAAAGGCCCACCAAGGCGACGAUCCGUAGCUGGUCUGAGAGGAUGAUCAGCCACACUGGAACUGAGACACGGUCCAGACUCCUACGGGAGGCAGCAGUGGGGAAUAUUGGACAAUGGGCGCAAGCCUGAUCCAGCCAUACCGCGUGGGUGAAGAAGGCCUUCGGGUUGUAAAGCCCUUUUGUUGGGAAAGAAAAGCAGCAGGUUAAUACCCCGCUGUUCUGACGGUACCCAAAGAAUAAGCACCGGCUAACUUCGUG